AACGCGUACGAUCACCGAAGUUAAGCAACGUCGAGCUUGGUUAGUACCUAUAUGGGUGACCGCUUGGAUAUACUAGGUGCUGUAAG